rnacentral:rRNA from 1 species
GAGUUUGAUCAUGGCUCAGAUUGAACGCUGGCGGCGUGCUUAACACAUGCAAGUCGAACGGAAUUAAGGAGCUUGCUCUUUAAUUUAGUGGCGCACGGGUGAGUAACGCGUGGAUGAUCUACCCUUGAGUUUGGGAUAACAGCGGGAAGCUGUUGCUAAUACCAAAUAACAUCACAAAUCAACCUGUGAUCAAAGGCGGGGUAACCUGUCGCUUGGGGAUGAGUCCGCGUCUCAUUAGCUAGUUGGUGAGGUAAUGGCUCACCAAGGCAACGAUGAGUAGCCGGUCUGAGAGGAUGAUCGGCCACACUGGGACUGGAACACGGCCCAGACUCCUACGGGAGGCAGCAGUGGGGAAUAUUGCGCAAUGGGCGAAAGCCUGACGCAGCGACGCCGCGUGAGGGAUGAAGGUUCUCGGAUCGUAAACCUCUGUCAGAAGGGAAGAAAAACCAGGGGAGUAACUGCCCUUGGCCUGACGGUACCUUCAAAGGAAGCACCGGCUAACUCCGUGCCAGCAGCCGCGGUAAUACGGAGGGUGCAAGCGUUAAUCGGAAUCACUGGGCGUAAAGCGCACGUAGGCGGCUUUGUAAGUCAGCGGUGCAAGCCCUUCGCUCAACGAAGGAAUUGCCGUUGAUACUGCUUAGCUUGAGUUUGUGAGAGGAUAGUGGAAUUCCAGGUGUAGGAGUGAAAUCCGUAGAGAUCUGGAGGAACAUCAGUGGCGAAGGCGACUAUCUGGCACAAUACUGACGCUGAGGUGCGAAAGCGUGGGGAUCAAACAGGAUUAGAUACCCUGGUAGUCCACGCCGUAAACGAUGGAUACUAGGUGCUGGAGGCUUGACUUUCAGUGCCGUAGCUAACGCGUUAAGUAUCCCGCCUGGGGAGUACGGUCGCAAGGCUGAUACUCAAGAAAUUGACGGGGGCCCGCACAAGCGGUGGAGUAUGUGGUUUAAUUCGAUGCAACGCGAAAAACCUUACCUAGGCUUGACAUCCGGAGAAUCCCU